AUGACCAUAUUACAUUGAAACAUUGGUUCUCAUUUGAUCACCAAAGUUAAGCAACUUUGAACCUGGUCAGUACCUAGAUGAGUGACUGCUUGGGAAUACCAAGUGCUGUAAG